rnacentral:rRNA from 1 species
UCGGGAAUUUUGGGCAAUGGGGGAAACCCUGACCCAGCAACGCCGCGUGAAGGAUGAAGUAUUUCGGUAUGUAAACUUCGAAAGAAUAGGAAGAAUAAAUGACGGUACUAUUUAUAAGGUCCGGCUAACUACGUGCCAGCAGCCGCGGUAAUACGUAGGGACCAAGCGUUGUUCGGAUUUACUGGGCGUAAAGGGCGCGUAGGCGGUGUGUCAAGUCAGUUGUGAAAUCUCCGAGCUUAACUCGGAACGGUCAACUGAUACUGUCACACUAGAGUACAGAAGGGGCAAUCGGAAUUCUUGGUGUAGCGGUGAAAUGCGUAGAUAUCAAGAGGAACACCUGAGGCGAAGGCGGGUUGCUGGGCUGAUACUGACGCUGAGGCGCGAAAGCUAGGGUAGCAAACGGGAUUAGAUACCCGCGUAGUCCCUGAGCGGGCUGGCAAGGCGCAU